GACGAACGCUGGCGGCGUGCUGAACACAUGCAAGUCGAACGGAAAGGCCCUGCUUUUGUGGGGUGCUCGAGUGGCGAACGGGUGAGUAACACGUGAGUAACCUGCCCUUGACUUUGGGAUAACUUCAGGAAACUGGGGCUAAUACCGGAUAGGAGCUCCUGCUGCAUGGUGGGGGUUGGAAAGUUUCGGCGGUUGGGGAUGGACUCGCGGCUUAUCAGCUUGUUGGUGGGGUAGUGGCUUACCAAGGCUUUGACGGGUAGCCGGCCUGAGAGGGUGACCGGCCACAUUGGGACUGAGAUACGGCCCAGACUCCUACGGGAGGCAGCAGUGGGGAAUAUUGCACAAUGGGCGGAAGCCUGAUGCAGCAACGCCGCGUGCGGGAUGACGGCCUUCGGGUUGUAAACCGCUUUCGCCUGUGACGAAGCGUGAGUGACGGUAAUGGGUAAAGAAGCACCGGCUACCUACGUG
rnacentral:rRNA from 1 species